UACGAGGGGGGCGAGCGUUGUUCGGAAUUAUUGGGCGUAAAGGGUGCGUAGGCGGUUCCGCAAGUCCUGUGUGAAAUCUUCGGGCUCAACUCGAAGUCUGCACGGGAAACUGCGGGGCUUGAGUGUGGGAGAGGUGAGUGGAAUUCCCCGGGUGUAGCGGUGAAAUGCGUAGAUAUCGGGAGGAACACCUGUGGCGAAAAGCGGCUCACUGGACCAUAACUGACGCUGAUGCACGAAAGCUGGGGGGAGCAAACAGG
rnacentral:rRNA from 1 species